CAAUUUUUUUAUUACAUAUGAGCUGCACAAUAUAGCAGUUCUUCCUCUGUGUUCUUUGACAAGAGCAAAAUAAAGAUAUGCUCUCCACAUGCUUGUAUCUCUUGCAUCUUUCAUAUCAUUGGGGUCAGAGUAACAUGACCUCUAGGCAGCUAAAAUAAAAUUGGCGGACAAAUGUAUGGUGCAGGACAUUUCUGGAAAAUAACCAGCAACAUUACCUGGUAAAAUAAAACUUCAACCUUCUAUAAAUUAAUUAGAUGCCUCAAAUACCUUGUUUUUUACCUGCAGCAGGGGCGUUAGGAGACUUGAAGAAGCCCACCACUCCCUUUGCAUGGAGGCCUGCUGAUCGCAGCAGGACGGCCUUGGUUCGGGAAUUCCUCCAGCAAACCACGGGGAAGCGAUUCUGCCGGUAGCAGCGGCAGAUUCUCUGGAUAGUUGUGUCUGGGAUGCUCUGAGGCACAAUCAGCAGGCCGGGCUGUUGCUGACGCUCUCCACGUCUCCGAGGCCAGUGGUCCUCAGCAGGCGGUUUUUGCUGGUGUCCAGCGGCAGCAGCAGGUAGCUCAUCCUGUUGGCGUAGUGGAUGGCCUGGCUGAACACCGUGCUCUCCUCCUUCUGCACGCGCUCCGCCUGCAUUUCCUUGCUGAGCGUCGGCCACAGCCGGUUCUGUUCUGACGCCAGAUCCAGGGCGCUGAUUUCCCUCCCACUGCCUGGCCCGUCCUGCUGCUCCUGGGAACAAAUCAAAAGAGGUACAGAGCUCUGAUGUGGUUCUGGACAUCGCUGUAGAACAUGGCCUCCCAGAACUGCAUUGUGGUCCACACCAUGUGCUCCUGUACACAGCUGUAGGCAAACUGAGUGAUGCCUGCGCCCAGUUUCUGUCAGACAAACACAGGGAGAGACAUUUACUAGAGAGACAAGUCAUUUUAAAAUGUCUGAACAUUCAGAAUUGGAGUACACAUGUUCAGACAAAGACCAACCUCAAAUUUUCCUCAUUCUGAAUUGUAAAACCAUGGAAAGUGGAUUCUUAUUUACUUGAAUAGAUUUUAAGCUGUGGUUAAAGCUGAAUUUGGGUGUGUGGGAUGACUUUAUCGAUGCUGGUUAUGAACUUACUCUGCAGAAGGCUGUCACAAGCGGAAGGAGGGCAGCUGCAAUACCGUGCUCAUCUAUAUGUGAGCAGUCCUGAAAAAAAAAUAAAACAGAUGAACGAUGUGACAUCUUGCAAACCAUAAAACAGAUGUUCUAAAUGACUUCUCCUUUAGCAUCAUUAAAGUCUCACUGAAAUGA